GUUUUUCACGUAUUUUUGUUUUCUGGCUAGUGUUUUGCAUGAAGCUCUACAGAAGCGAGCGUAUCCUUGGGUGAGCGCACCUUUGAAAUCUCUGCCGUCAGAGCUGAUUGCCUUUGAAGUGCUUUGGUAAUGAAAUGGUUGUGGAGUUUCUGGUAGGAAUAAGAAAUGCUGUCGCACGUCUUCCUGUCUUACCUCCAGCCCCCUGCAAUCAGAAAGAGGUGUGUGUGCAUUGAUUUGGUGUGGAGGAGCACUGGAUGGCUUCCAGGAGCAAUGAGCUUAAGCUGCCUCCUGUAACGCUCUAUUAACUCACGCUUUACCGUGCUAACAUUACAGCAUGGUUGUCAUAGCAACAGUCACACUGCAGGACUGUGACCCAAAAUUUCAGUCAGAACAUCUACAUCCGAAAUUCAUUGCACAGAUGGAAAAUGCUGCCGUUGGAAAGGAGCAACAGUUCAUAAAAACCUUGGAAAAGUGCAAAACUUCAAUUUCCUUCGAUCUGCAUCUGCCUUUGCUCAUCUCUCUUACCGUCGGUCGCCGCAGCUCUGCUCUUCUGGUCUCAUCUGGGCGUGUGUAUUUGGCUCUGAAGGUCUGCUGGGAUGUUGACAGCGCUCUUCAGGUUGACUCGGCGUUGCGUAAACAGAGAUUAGUGACCAUCCUGGCUCUUAAUUAAAGUCAGAAAGCUGCCAGGAGACACACCAGGCCAUCAAAUAUUAAUCUAGACAGUUCCCGCAGCAGGCCAGCCCUCCACUCAUGGGGUUCCAGCGGGUGUAUCACCAUGAUGUGCUGCCGCACACGGUCCAGAGGGAUCGCUGAGUGUCAUGACAGAUCAAAUGAUGCAAUGGAACUGGAGGGGGGAGCGAGACGCCAGUGAAACAUUCAGAUGACGGCCUGUGAAUGUCUUUCUUCAGACCCCGCCGAUGGCCUGUAAUGAGCCUAUGUUUCAUUCUGAGGGAUCACGUCCACGUCUGACGGAGGUCUCAAUGUCAUCGCCUUCUUGCCUGUCUGUAGCAUCUCUGAUCUAUUGGACUAUAAGAACGACACUGCGAAUUUAAGGUGUUUAUGUCACAGGCUUUAGACGUGGUACUUUAGGGUUAAAGAGAUAAGGGUUUAGGAUUAGAUUUAGCAUUCAAGGUUGUCUGCUUUAUAGUUUAGAAUUUACAUUUAGUCAUUUGGUAAAUGGUUUUAUCAAACGUGAAUUAGAAACAGUAAUGGUCAAAAAGGGUUAGGUUUAGUCUUGGAUUGUAGACUUUAGGUUAAAGGUUUAGGGUUGAAGUAUGGAGUUUAGACAUUGAGUGAUUUUUUGUUUUAAUGGUUUAUGUUCACGAUUUAGAUUUUAAAUGUGUUUAAGACUUAGUGAAAGAGCUCAUGAUUUAGUUUAGUCUGAAUUAUUUUUUUUCUUUCAUUUGUUGACUUUGGAGUUUAGGGUUAAGGCUUUGGAAUUAAGACAUUAAAUUAGUUUUUGCUUUAAGGGUUGUUUUGUUUUAAGGGUGUGUUUUUUUUGGAGUUUAGGGUUAAGGCUUUGGAAUUAAGACAUUAAAGUAGUUUUUGUUUUAAGGGUUGUUUUGUUUUAAGGUUGUUGUUUUUUUAUUUGGAGUUGGAGUUGGAGUUUAGGGUUUAGGCUUUUGAAUUAAGACAUUAAAUUAGUUUUUGUUUUAAGGUUUUUUGUUUUGUUUUUUUGCUUUGGAGUUUAGGGUUAAGGCUUUGGAAUUAAGACAUUAAAUUAGUUUUUGUUUUAAGGGUUGUUUUUUGGCUUUGGAGUUUAGGGUUAAGGCUUUGGAAUUUAGACAUUUAAUUAGAUUUUGUUUUGUUUUUUUGGCUUUGGAGUUUAGGUUUUGGAAUUUAGACAUUAAAUUUGCUUUUGUUUUAAGGGUUUAUGUUCAAGUUUUAGGGUCUAAAUGUGUUUAAGACUUAGUGUUUAAAAACUUCUUAAAAAGUUCAAGAUUUGGAUUUGGUCUGAAGGAUUUAGUCUGUCUUGUUUUGUUUUGGAGUUUAGACAUUCAAUUAGUUUUUGUUUUAAGGGUUUAUGUUCAUGUUUUAGAAUUUAAAUGCAGUUUUAAGGGUUUAGGUUGUUACUGAUGGAGUUUCUGGUUUAAAGUAAGGUAGUAAGGGUUUAGGUUUAGUCAUUUUGUAGGUUCUUUUAUUGAAAGGGACUUAUAAAUGACCAACAUCGCCAGCAAUCUCUCUCCGAAGAGCCAACAAUACCACAAUUUUAGGAUUGGUUUUAGCGUUACAUUUAGUCUUUACUGUUUAGAUUGUAGAUUUUGUGGUUAAAGGUUUAGGAUUGCGGUUUAGAGAUAAGACUUUAAAUUAGUUUUAGUUUUAAGGGUUUAUAUUCGAGUUUUGAUAUUUAAAUGUGUUUAGGACUUAGAGUUAAAGAGUUCAGGGUUUGGAUUCAGUCUGAAGGGUUUUUUAAGGCUUUUGGGGUUUAGAGUUUGUUGUUAAAAUUGUUUUGUUUAUGACUUAGUUUAGUGUUAGAUGUUAAUUGAGUUUUUAGGGUUUAGGUUGUUGCUGUUGAUGUUUAGAGAUUAAAGUUAAAUAUUACAGGAUUGGGAUUUAGAUUUAGUAUUCAGAGUGUAGGUUGUAGGAUUUAUAUUAGGUUUUACAUUUAUUGAUUAGAUGCUUUUUAUCACAAGCCAUCUCACAUAUGAGAGCCAACAAUACCACAUUUUUAGCAUUUUGGAGUUGAGGUUUAAAGUUAAGACAUUAUAUAGAGUUUUAAGUGUUUGUUCAAGUUUUAGGAAUUAUAUGUUGUGUUUAGGAUUUUUAAAGAACGUUU
ensembl:lncRNA